CCUGAUUGUGAAGCCUCCCAAGCCAUGUGGAACUGAGUCUUUCCACCGCUUCAGAACAUGCCUGGUGACCUCAUUUAUGUGAACACUUUAGCCAGAACAAAACUCAGCAAGCCACUGAUGAAUCCAGUGAAAAGGAGAGACCUACUGAGCCUUUGGGAAUGUAUGAUGCCUUGGAUUGGUCCAGGGUUCUGAAGCCUAAGUCACUCAUUGUACGCAGGAAGCCGAAUGUAAGACCUUCCACAAGCACUUUCACAAACAGGGGUCUGUUUACAACAUGUGCUCCCAAAGCCCACGGUCUCUUUGCCAGUGAUUGUCUGUCAAACGUCCAAGCUCUGCCGUGCCAGGGCAGCUUCAGUUAUCCACGUUUCCCAGGCCACACAGCCUGGGCAGAAAAUAACCACAAUGACAGUCACAAAGCAGAUUCCUCUAAUUCUACCCCCCCCAGAGUCAGAAAAACCGUGUGAUAUGUGCCAUGUCCCUCCCCUUCCUUUCCAGCUGCUGUGUGGAUGAGGUCUCCUGCUGCUCUGGGACCGUGCUUCACUCCAAGCCUCAGAGGUGGACACCUUUGAUACCAGGGUGACCAAUCCCUGGUCCUGGUCCUACCUACAUGAGAGUGAUAGAGCUCUGGGCUGGGGUACAAUUGAGUGACACACUCUUCCAAGUCCUCUUCCUCCACCACAGAGCACAAUUUCAUAAAGGUUUUGGCUUGCAUUAUAGGGAACGUGGAACACGGAACACUUCAGAUUUUCAACGAUGCUGGAUUUGAGCUGUUCACUUGAAAAUAAAGUCUGUUGCAUCACAAGUGCUGGUUGGCAUCGCUGUCCUCCUAUCAGUGGAUUAAGAAAAGGCACAGCGAAAAACUAGUUUAAAAUCACCAGUCGGAUAUUUUACAGGCGAGGUCCAGCACGAUCACUCACACGGCUGCUGCUAGGCUGGCUCUGCCCGUUAUUCUUCCAUCCUGGCACCAUGCUUCUAAUUUAUCCUGAAUACAUGGAGACUUGAGCACUGAUGGGAUAGAUAAAAAAAACGACAGCAAUCUUCUCUCCAAAAAAGCAACAUAAGACUAGAUAAAAUGGUCAAAAAUAAUCAUUUCAGAAUGAUUCUAGAAAAUGACCAAAGGCAGACAACAAAUUGAGAUGUGUGUUUCGUUUUUUUUGAAUCUACUGGGGCUUGGAAGGAACAGUGGGAGACUAUGGAAUUUUAGCUCAGGGCAGCGUGGUAUAGUUUCACAAUGGAAUACUACUCAGAAAUAAAAGCGAUAAACUGUUGAUACAUGCAACAAUGUGGAUGAAUCUUAAGAUAAUAAUGCUGAGUCAAAGAAGCCAGACAAAAGUAUGUAUAGUGUGAUUCGAAUUAUAUGAAAUUCUACAAAAUAUACACUAAUCUAUAAUGACAGAAAUAGAUCAGGGGUUGCCUGGGGAACUGGGGUGGAGGGUGUGCCAAGAGAGGCAGGAAAGAAGGAUUAUGAAGGGGCAGGAGGAGAGCUUUGGGGAUGGGGAUGUAUUCAUUAUCUUGAUUGUGAUGAUAAAUUCUCCGGUGUACACAUAUAGCAAAAUUUAUCAAAUUAUACACUUUAAACCAUGUGCAGUUUUUGUAUAUGGAUUGUACCAAAAUAAAGUUUUUUAAAGGGAUGCUAAUCAAUGGAUUAUACUACCUGUAGCUUGCCUACACCUCAUCUCCUUCCUCAAAACAGUUAACCUACAGGUACCUAGUAGCUAUUCCAAAACUGCUCCUCGAACUUGUGAAUGAGUAAGAGAAUGAACAAACGCACCCACUUAUCAACCUAUUCUAUGUCCU
rnacentral:lncRNA from 1 species